CUUCAUGACAUAACUGUCUUCCAAAAUCCUGAUCAAAGGGGGUCCAUUCCUCUUCCGAGACAAUAGAGUGUGUGUUUGGUGGCUUCUGCCCAUAGUACGUGUAUGGAGCUGUUAAGCCACACAGCUGACACUUGAAUUCUCCUGUAGGCUCAGGUUCUUUGGAAGAAUCCAUCUUUAAGCUGGGCGCGGGGCUCCCUCCUGCCGCUGCCGUCCGCGCUCCGCCGCAGCGCCCCGAGGCCCGCUCCUCGGGACGGGAUCCCAAGGUCCUCCCCGAUCACGGCCUAGAGAUCCCGGCCGGCAGGGAGAAAAGGAGCAGCGUUUUCCAGACCCCAGGCGCGCUGCCGCCACCCCACGCCGCUUUGCUACUAUUGAGAACGGUUAGCCAUCGCUGCCCGGCGGAACUCGUCUUCCCGCCGCUUCCG
rnacentral:lncRNA from 1 species